AUUUCUUAUCUCCCUUUUUACAUAACAUUCAUUUACUUCUUUGUGGGAAUUUCGUCCUCUCGCCAGUGUUCGUUCACCCAUGAAAGCUCGUGCAAUUGUGGUCAUGUCCAAUCGUUAUUUAGAAUUGAUCCGAUGCAAGAUUUUCAUUGGUAAUUCAAAUGUACCUGUUGAUUUCAUUAUGAAAUUACUGACCACGCUUGCAUUUGCCAAGACCGUCUAGUAGACGCAAGGCCAUAGUCGUUGUUUAUUCCAACCUGGUCUUUUCCGUCAUGGCUAUAUUGGUCAGCGUCAAUAAAUACAAUUAAACCUCCACGGCUUUGAUUGAAUGAUGUGCCCCCAAUCUCCACACCCACUUCAAAUGGCGCCCAACGUGGGGCAGACGUGCGACGGAAGGACAGGGUUGGCGGCUGGACCAGGCUUCCGGAGGGCGGCGAGGUUGGUACCACGUUCGUUGAGGACGGGCCCACGCUGUCGGAGCGGUGCUGGAUUAGGGAGUACGACAACCCCAAAGAGGCGUAUUGACUUCCGUCCAGCUCCUAGGACCGUUUCACAGGACCCGCAGUACUUUCGGAAAGGACAGCUGAAUUGUGUAUCAAUUAUGCACUUUCUCGUAAGAGAAAUCCACGUGUUUUUCAGUGUUUAUAUGACGUUUUGUUUACACCACGUGACUUUUGUACUUUUUAUUGUGAAUCUCUUCACGAGUAAUUCAUGUAACUGUGCUCUGUAGGCGUUUUCUUUGUGGAUGUGUUAAUGUACAUUUGUUCCCUUAAACAUGUGCGGUUGGACUGACCAAGUAAGUCUAUUGUAUCAACUACUUUUAUUUAAAUAUUUAUGGCGCACUACUUAUUACGUAUGCGUAUGUGCACAAAAAUAGUUCCUUCGGUAUCAAAUGUAAACAAUGCGUACGCAAAAACGUCCUGUAUUUCAGUUCGGUGUUAUCGCAGUCUUUGGAAAUAUUGUUUUAAUUUUAAACAUGAUAAUUUUCUGUAAGUAUAUAAGAAACGUUUGUAGCGAAGUUCAAUUUUGUAAAUAAUUUUCAGUUCACGGUUAAUAAUAGUUAUGUAAUAUGUGUUCGUGACCGCUAGGUUUCAUUCAUUUGCCUUAUGGUUAAAUUACAAAUUAGAAUCCACAUGCUGUAGUUAAUUUGUGGUAUUGACUUCUUUUAUUUCCUUUAAAAAGUAGUAAAAUUAUAAAUAUGUUUAGUGUUGUAAUAAUUUGACAAUUAUAAAGUUUUUGCAGAAAUUAUUUGUUUUAAUCUUGACAUGAAACGUAGUCGUACAUUUCCAUUAGAGCUUAUACGCUUUAUCGAAUUAUCAAUUAGUUGUUCAUGAGAAUUAUUAGCUUAUUUAAAAUCAUGAUAUUGUUUUGGAAUUAAGGUUUUUGGUUUAACACUUUACAAAUGUUGAUUUUAUGUGUAAUAUUGGUACAUAUCAACAUAUCUUUGUGAUUUAGACAUUUCCCCUAUAGUUAUAUCUGUCAAACAGUCUAGUUUCUAGAUUUGUGAAUGGUAAUGGUGAAAUUCAUUUAAACUCUCACUCGACCCUGGUGACCUUCAUGAGCUAAAUUUACAACUUUGCGUUGCAUUAUUUCCGGUAUACAGUCUUAAACCACGGAGUACUUCAAAGUAGUCAUUUAUCUUCACUGUGGUUAAGUUCAUGGCGCGGCUAGGUCUGCAAAUGUCAUUGAGACUGUUACUGCCGAAAUUUGCCAGGAAGUUCACGUAAUCCUCUGUAAAAGUGCUUUUGUUAUUUGCUUUCACUUGGUGUCUUGAGCGGAAAUUGGGGGGGGGGGAUCGUUUGAUUCCCUGGGCGAUAUUUCAUUGUGGAGUAUCCGAGUUAAAUGUUGUCAAUUUAAUCGCCACAUGUCAGUUGGGCAGAUUGGAUUUCUUUCGGUUGUUAAAAAUUGAUCCCAGGGGUUUUUGAUAUGUGAUUAAUUUGCACUUUGACCCCAACAGGUACAAAUGAAAGUGUUUGUAUCUGAAGACACAUGCUAAAUUUAAAUAUUCUUUACCUGGAGCUAUUUACAUUUUAAAAUGGUAAUGCUCAUUCCUUAAAGGGAUCUUUUCACGCUUUGGUAAAUUGACAAAAUUGAAAAAAGUUGUUUCAGAUUCGCAAAUUUUCGUGUUAGUUAUGAUAUUUGUGAGGAAACAGUAAUACUGAACAUUAACCAUGGUCUAAUAUAGCCAUUAUAUGCAUCUUUUUACGAUUUUAAAACCUAAAAAUUAUAAAGCGUUGCAACGCGAAACGAUUGAAUAAUUUGGAGAGUUCUGUUUUUGUCGUUAAAUUUUGUGAAACUACGAAGAUUGCUUAUAUAAGGUAUAAAAUACGUCAAGAAUGUGUACUCGGCGGAAUAGCUCAGUAGGAUAAAGCGUUUUUACUUCAGGACUCUGGCAGGACUCCAGGGUCACUGGUUCGAAACCUGCUCCGGGCAAUGUUCUUUUCCUUUUUUAAUUUUAUUCUUGAUUUUUUACUGGAGCUUUUACGAUCCAAUGUUUACAAUUAUCAAUAUAAAGCAUUUAAUAAAUAAGUUAAAAAAUGCCAAAAUCUGUGAAAAGGCCCCUUUAAUGUGUGUAUUUGUUAAGGGUAUUUGUGCGUUGUGAGGUUUUGUGUUUGUCAGUGUGUUUUUAUGUACUUUCUGAGGUGCUAUCAAUACCAAAUUUGGCUUUUCUACAUGUUUCUUGUAUGUAUGUUUCAUGGCCAGAAAUGAAUAUAUGGGUAAUGUGUUAUUGAAAAUUGUUAAUAUGGGAGGUCAUAUUGCCAUUUGUGAAUGUUGGCUGAUGUAAGUAUGUCAAAUCAUGCUUUCAGCGACAUACAUUUUUUGUGUUGUUCGGUAAACAUCAGUGCAAACUAUGAUUUAAUAAAUCCAAAUAUUCUUGUUCAGUAAUAAUGCAAAUAUUACUGCAGUUUAAGAGCUCAUUACAGAAACAUUAAUUGUGUUCUCUUUGAUGUGUUUUCAAUGUUUGUUUUUAUCAUAUGUGUACAAAGUUACGCAUUUGUCUAGUAAUUCACUAAUUGAUAUGUUCGUUUGUCAUUAAUCAUUACCGUGUUAAACUCUAUUUGGUAACAUCAUUGUAAGAUGAUGUAAUAAAUCCAAAUAUGUGAAUGAGUAAUUAAGCAAAUAUUACUUAAAUGUGAGGUCUCUUUACAGAGACAUAUGUUGUAUUCUAUAUGUUAUUGCUGUAUUGUUUUCUUUGCAUAUUAUUUGAACUUUUGCUUAUCUAUUUGUUAAAUGUUGAGACCAAUAUAGAUGUGUUUUAAGUUUAGUGUGAUCGUAAGGUGUUAAUUGUUCCGAAUCUGUGUGUCAUAUUUCUUAGUAUUUUUACAAGUUGAAAUAAUCCAUUUUAAUUUAGUUGCAUACUGCUCAUAUUGCAGAAAGUUGAGUAAUACUAUCUCAACAUAAUUCUUUGUUUUCUAUUAAGAUUGUAGUAGGAAAACAUGUGCAUCUUUGUGUUUUAUUAUUUUAAAUGUAUAUCAAGGUUAAUAUUGUCAUCUUUGCAACUAAUAGAUUGGUGUUUGUAUUUUCAUUAAUUAACACUUAGUGUGUAACUUCAAAAUCAAUUUGAAAUGCUAUGUGCUGCAUUUUACUUAAACAUUUUCAAAAGAUCAAUUUUUCAAUUUAAAUGUUUUUUGAGUGACUUAUUUUUAAAAAUGUCCGGAGACAUUUAGAAGAAGAGGGGAACUGUGUAGUAAGGUAAAUUUCUUAUCUCUCUUUUUACAUAACAUUCAUUUACUUCUUUGUGGGAAUUUCGUCCUCUCGCCAGUGUUCGUUCACCCAUGAAAGCUCGUGCAAUUGUGGUCAUGUCCAAUCGUUAUUUAGAAUUGAUCCAAUGCAAGAUUUUCAUUGGUCAUUCAAAUAAACCUGUUGAUUUCAUUAUGCAAUUACUGACCAUGCUUGCAUUUGCCAAGACCGUCUAGUGGACGCAAGCCCAUAGUCGUUGCUUAUUCUAACCUGGUGAGUUAAACAGUUUUCAUUUAACGAAAAUUGUGUAUUAUUGCAUUAUGAAAUGUGUGUGAAUUAGUUUAGUUAAUGAGAAGUUCAUUUAUUUCAUAUUUCGUAGUAUCGUUUGUUUUGUUCUGUUUUUAAAAUAUUGUCAUUGUUUUGUGUAGGUCUUUUCCGUCAUGGCUAUAUUGGUCAGCGUCAAUAAAUACAAUUAAACCUC